UCCAGCUGAGGACACGAGCAAAUUAAGUAAACCCAGUUGGUAUUUCAAUUAAAAUCUAAUUACCGUUCUUAGUACAUAUUUAAUUGUUAACUCGUAAAUCCAUACAUACAUAUAUAAAUAAUUAACCAUUUUAAGAUUUCAACAUAGCAAUGGAACCAAGUACACUCUUAGCAACUUGGUAAAGAAUUCUUAAUAAGCGUCUUUACCGAGCUGUUGGUAAUUACGCGUCCUACAAAAAUUAUACGGGGUUAGUACCGUAUCAAUACCAACCGGGUAACUGGCCAUCCACCGCAAUGUUUUAAGUUAUCUUUAUAAUUUUGGUAAUAAAUUCCUACGAGUCGGUAAUUAUAUCCUACAAAUUUAGAUAACACUCUUUACCAUAAUUUUUGUAAAGCGCAGUACAAAUUGGUGCUAAUGAGAUCUACAUUUUGGUGUAGUUUAUUACCAUGGAGUUUUAGUUUCCGCUCAGCUCAACUCAAGUCAACAUGGCGAAAUUAAUCCAUUCUGUCCAGAAGUUUUUAUCAGUGAAAAAACUGAUAAAAACUUCUGGGAAUUAUAUAGAAUUGUUGAAACAGUGAAACAAAAAUUUAAGUUGGAAAUCGGAGCAGAUUUCAACUUCGUGUAAAUAUGUAUACAUGUGUGUGUAUGUAAUUCCAUAGUUUGCA